GCCACUGUGGCACAGUUGUUUUGAGUGUUGAACUUUGACUCUGGAGACCAGGGUUCGAUUCCCAGCUCAGCA